rnacentral:rRNA from 1 species
UACGGGGGGGCGAGCGUUGUCCGAAGUUACUGGGCGUAAAGGGCGCGUAGGCGGGGUGUCACGUCCGCUGUGAAAGCCUGGAGCUUAACUCCAGCGGGUCGGUGGAUACGGACACUCUUGAAGGCGUUAGGGGAAGGAUGGAAUUACCCGUGGAGCGGUGAAAUGCGUAGAGAUGGGUAGGAACACCGGUGGCGAAGGCGGUCUUCUGGGACGGUCCUGACGCUGAGGCGGCGAAAGCUGGGGGAGCGAACGGGGAGUUAGAUGACCC